GAUAGAUAAGAAUAUAUUACAAUAUUCUAUAUUAUACUAACUUUACAAGACGUGUAUGAUCUAAGAUAUAUUAUCAUAAUAUCAUCUAUGUGGGUGAGAGCACUACACCACAGAAUAAUUAAAGAAUAAUAAAUUCUGUGACUACACAGCUGAUGCUUAUAUUAUAGGUAAUAUAAAUAAGGGCCGAUUUCACCAACACACUAGUACACUACACAGUUAAUCACGAUCAAAUACUGUACAUUUACAGUAUUUGUCACGAUUAAAGUUAACCGCGGAGUUAAUCGGCCGAAUUUGGCCGGUAAAUAUCUGUUAUCAGCCGAUUAAGCGUUAACCGUGAUUAACUGUGUUGGUGAAAUCGGCCCUAAAUAAAUAAUAUUAAAGUAUAGGUACAGAUAGUCUGUGGUAUAGGUAUCUGUGGAGCACUAUUUAAAAGCAGUCUGCAUAGAUACUUUUCCUUUAUAUGGCAGUCUGUCCCUCAUCCACAUUCCGGCUCCCGGUUCGUAAAUGCUUAUGUCGUUAGUAUAGGAAUGGCCUAUCUCUCAAAUUAAAAUAUUUUAAUUCGUGGCCCGUCCAUUCUUAUAUUAUCAAUGAACCCAAGACCGUGUGUAAAUCGUAGAUCACGAUGCGUUGAUAUAAAUAUUGUCAUGGAACGAUAUUAUAUCGCUUACACUUUUAUUCUGUGCUUUCACUCCUCAACCUGGUGUGUCAGUCCACCAGCUGCUUCUUACUAGUUAGUAGUUCUUGUCUGUGUUGGAAGUUUGUAACAUGAAGAAUGGAAAUAUGGAAAUGUAUUUUGUUUGUCGUGGUUGUACUUACCUAAAGUACUUGGACAUAUUAAGUACAAUUGUCAAUUUGUAUGUACAUCAUUUUGGUCAUUGUUAGUGUUUUCAUUUUAUUAAAAUCUUAAUGACAAUAUUAUACAGUCAAAUAUAGCAUCGGUAUUAGAGAGUGUUAGUGUAGUGCCAAAAGCAAAUUAUGUAGUAAUUGUUGAAAUCCCUGAAUGUUUACAAAGUAUUAUUCUAAUUUAAUUAAAGAUACCAGCACAGUGACAAUAUGAAACUGAGGCCUGAACAAGCAAAACACUCUUCCAAAAAAGAAAAACAAUUGUUAUAAAAAUAUAAUUGAAGACAUUAAUACUGAUUCUAUUAAAAGGAUGUAUCCACAUGGGUUGUCUCUGUCUUUAACACAUACAAUAUAGAAAAUUUCUGUUCCCCAGUUUCAAUUGUGUGCUGUUAAUUUUGAUAUUAGAGUAAAUUGACCGUUUAUCAAACUUUUAGGUAAGAACAUUAUCUGUAUCAUCUCUUUGGUUUUUUAUAAUAUUUUAAUUUUUAAUUGAAUUAUGAAUAAAAUAUGUUCACAUAUUUUAUUGAAACUGGCGAGUGAAAAUUUGUUAUGUCGUACGUGUGUAAGACUGCGACAACAUAUGCGGGCACAACAUAAAAAAAUACCAAUUUUUGGGGGAAGUAAUCACAUCCAAAUCCAACGAUUGUGCAGAGACUAGGUUUAGAACUAUACAUUGUUGAAAAUAGCUUAUGAUAUUGCUAUGGGGUAUCUAAAUAAAAAAUACUCGACUAUGACUAAGUAACUAUAUAUAAAAGUACACACUAACAACAAUCUACUGUUGUAGACUUAGUUCAAUCACAAUUGUAAGUUUGUUUGAGUAAAAUAAAGAAUGAUAAAUACAUGCAGAUUUAUAGAGGAUGAGGGAUGUCAGAUAAUAUAAAUGACAGAACAAUUGAGUUGCAAAUCAGUAAUAAUAUUUCUACUCUUGAUGCACAAUAAAAUCUAAAAUAUUUUGUGAUUAAUUGACGUAAUAUAGGUUUAACUGUUGGAGAUCUGGGAAUUUUAAUUGAAAAUAUUUUUAGUGGAAUUAUAAUAAUAAUUAAAUUUAUUUUAUAUUUUAUAUUACUACUAUAGCUGGUGUGCAGUUGAUGUGUUUCAUAAAAUAAUGUUUUUAUGUAUAUACAUUGAAUAUCAUGCAUAUUAGUGCAUGUUUCAGAUGUGUUAAAAAUAAUUGUGUUGUCGAGAUAACACAGAUGAUAAUAGGUAGUCUUGGAAAUAUUUUGGUGGUUAAGAUAACACGAAAUACUCUUCAUUUAGUUAAGAGUAAUUUUAAUAUUAAAAUUGUUUAAUGUAUUUUACUGAAUGCUGGCCAAAGUUAGAUAUUUCUAAAAAUAUAACUGAUGUAUCAAAAAUAUUAAUUUAAAUAACUUAACUGAGAUCAGAUUGUGAUGUCAACAUUAAUAUAAGAUUACAUUUACAAUUUUUCCAUCAUUAAUUUAACCAGUUAACUAUGAACUAGUGCCUUUAUAGACUAUAUGAAUUGUACAAUAAUUAUA